AGUACCGCGUGGCUAGGGAAGACGGAUGUAAACAAAGACUGUGUCCUUCUCAAAAACCUGCAAAUCCGGACGUUAUGCUGAUUUCCCCUGACAUUUUUAAAAAUGUUUUUCUGUCAAGCCGACAGAAUAGACUUUCGCUGUCCAUAAUGCAAGAGGCACACCUUUUGGAAGCAUGGCCUCAAAUUAUUGAGGAAGCACGCCACGAAUCUAUCACAAUGCAGGACUUGAGGGGCUGAUCAUUGAGGACAUGCAUGACGUUCAGUACACAUUCUCAAUUGGACCAGAGGUGUGUGCCUCUAUGACAGCAGUGUGUGCAGCGGAGAGGGGGAUCAGUCCAUCUCUGCCUUUUGGAGUUCAGAUCCUGUCUGCAGCAAACAGCUCUUGCUGUUGCACUGGCUUCAGGUUGAUAUAGCUGGCUUUGCUUAUUAGUGAUUAAUACAUGCAUGCAAGAGUGCUUCAGGCUAGGCUGGAAUUUGAGUUUAAUAGAAAGAUCCGUGUUAAGAGGUUGGGAAAAGCAAAUGUUUAGCUACCUAUUUUUCGUUGUUGUCUAUUUCCAAGGUAUGGAUUUUAUCAGGGCAGAGGGAUAUGUCUUCUCACAUGUUGCUGAUGAAGGCCUUUUGAAUGCAUGUGUCGGAGUCCUUUUGCGAUACGGCAAGCAAAUAAAGGCUGAACAUGUACAGAUCUUCACUGAUAUAAAAAAGAAGCACAGGUGCGCAAUCGUUCAAAAAACAUUCCAGUCAGACAACCCCACUGGCUAGCCUAGAUGUCCUGAUAUGGCAUUUCAGAAGGUUUUCAACAUGCAAGUAUUGCGGCUAAUAUUAUCCGUAAACGGUACAGCAAGGAGAUGAAAGGUACAAUUUCUGACUUUUGUAGUAAGUGUAAUUGGAUGUUUUGUGAUUUGUGGGUUUGUGUUUCUAGCUCCCAUGCCCUGACUUCAGAUGUGAGCAUAGUGGAGUCGACGGCCAGAGCAGCUGCGUUUUUUCCUCUCUGACGGGCUCAUUAUCACUGGAACAGCCACAGGGGUUCAGGCAGAUCUAGUGGAACUCAGAGGUGUGUCCUGUCUCUGAAUGUUCUGACACAUACAGACAUGUAUGUACGGUAUGACACACACACACAUGUAUGGUAUGACGCACAAACAUACUGACACAUACAGUAAUAUAAAAAGACCCCCAACUCGUUUAAAUGAAUACCAAAAAAAAACAAAUAAGUCAUAGGCUAUUACUGUGUAAUCACUAUUUUACCACUUGGAUCAAAGGGCAGCCGACACUCAGCACAUACAUUAUAUAUCUGAGGCAUAAUGCUAGGUGUAUCAUUUUAGGAAUGCUCAGCGUGCAUCUUAGUACAAACAUAGUUUACUUUCCCUUUUUCAUUUUCUCUCAAACAUGCCUGUAGUCUUGGUUAAUAAGGGAGUGCCCUUUUUCUAAAUGUCAUACAUUCUCCCUAACCAUAACACACACCCUAACAAAAGUAUGUUCAGUCACCUCACUCAAUUCCAUACCACUCCCACUGCAUACGAGUCUAUGGCAUACUUCCUACAUUUGAAAGGGCAGAUAGUUCCUGGCGUUAGUUUUUCAUGUGGCCCAGAGGUUAAGCUUCCCUAAAGCCCAUGGAGCCUCUGGGCCUCGCUGCUGGCCUUAUAAAGAGCAGCCUCGUCUGGGGAGAGGAUGGCAGCCUCACAGUCCCCCCCAGUCUGGAUCAUGCUGACCAUGGGCACAGAGCCAGGUCCUGCCCUUGCCUGCCACAGCCCUGCUUGGCUAAUAUAGACACCAACAUCGUCUGCUAUUUUUAAGCACAGCCUACAGAUGGCUGACUUAGAUAGAAGGCUGUAAACACAGGCAGGCUCUGGCCAGACUGCCGCACAACCCUGCUGCCUAGUUUGGAGGUGCUCCUACAGUCUCCCAGUAUGAUUUCAUUGGGCUGGCACUGUCGUCAGAUUGGUAUAUGGAGCUGCCAGAGUCUGGAUUGAUCUCUUUCCUCAUGUGUUUUUCUCAUAUCAUCUCUGAACAUACUUUUACCAUUUAUUUAUCAGAGAUGAUGCAUGACACUUGCAAU